GACGAACGCUGGCGGCGUGCUUAACACAUGCAAGUCGAACGGAAAGGCCCUGCUUUUGUGGGGUGCUCGAGUGGCGAACGGGUGAGUAACACGUGAGUAACCUGCCCUUGACUUUGGGAUAACUUCAGGAAACUGGGGCUAAUACCGGAUAGGAGCUCCUGCUGCAUGGUGGGGGUUGGAAAGUUUCGGCGGUUGGGGAUGGACUCGCGGCUUAUCAGCUUGUUGGUGGGGUAGUGGCUUACCAAGGCUUUGACGGGUAGCCGGCCUGAGAGGGUGACCGGAGACAUUGGGACUGAGAUACGGCCGAGAAACAUAAGGGAGGCAGAAGUGGGGAAUAUUGCACAAUGGGCGGAAGCCUGAUGCAGCAACGCCGCGUGCGGGAUGACGGCCUUAGGGUUGUAAACCGCUUUCGCCUGUGACGAAGCGUGAGUGAAGGUAAUGGGUAAAGAAGCACCGGCUAGGUACGUG
rnacentral:rRNA from 1 species